GCACUGAGGCAGAGAGAAGCAGCCAGAUUGAAUGCUGCUUCUCUCUGUCGCAGCACUUUCCAGAUGGGACUUACAGGACCCAAAGCAGCGGCUCACGCCUGCUAAAUUUUGCUGUGCUGCACAAGACGCUCUCCCAGCAAGAGCAGCGGAAGAGAGAAACAGCUGCUGACCCAGAGAGCACAUGGAGCAUCUCUGCAAGCGACUGAGGCUUGCCCAACACCAAGGGCUGGAAAAAGCAGCUGAAAGAUCUGAGAGACACUGGAGGUUCAACCCAGCUGCUUCUCUCUGCUGCAGCGCUUUCUGGAUGGGACUUCUUACAGAGACUGACUUACUUGACUAUGCAGAUCCAGAAAUGUUGACAAGUGACUGCAUAUGUCACAUUGAAGAAUAAGCAACCACAGAACUCUGAAAGAAGGAGAAGCAAAUAUUUUAAGCAAAGGAAGAGUAAUGCGGCUACUUCUUAGGCUUAUAUAGUACUGCGAGGAAUUUUGGGAAACAGAGAUGAUGCUUGAAGAAUGAAAGCGCUCAUACUGAAGAUUAGACAAAAUUGUGCACCGAAUUUGAUGCAAUUACAAUGCAUUUGGAUCCCAGUGCUUAUAGUUUGUAAUAAAUCUGCUCACUAUUGUCCAUUUAAUUCUUCCCACCCAGAACCCAAGACAGGCUGUCCAUCAUUUGGUAAAAAUGAUGUACACACAUACAGACAAGCACACACACAAGCAUGUUCUAACUAAUUUGUCACAGAUUUUCCCUCAUUGCUAAAUAUGUGCUCAUUUGAGAAAAUUUGGUUCCACAAUAUAAUUCAGCACAAGGGAGAGUGAUUGAACAAGGAAAGCAUACAAAAGCUUUUUGAACAAAUAAGUAAAUGUUUUGACAAAGGUGUGGCCCUCCAGAAAAUAGGUAUCUUCAUAACUUUUGUCUCAAUGAUGGUUAAAUACAGACUUAUUGCCAUUCUUUCAAGUUAAGAAGCUUAACAGGAUCAGUGAUAGUUUCUGCACUUUGAUACCUGAUAGUGUUUGAAACAGAGCAGGGACAUUACAUUACAGGAACAUUACACAGAGCAGGGACCAAAAGAGACUUGUGCUAGAUGGAUCAUGAAGUGAUUAAGCCUAACUUGUUACAAGGGAGAACCAGCUCCAAUAAACAUUCUUAAUGUUGAAAAGGUUAACUCCAAGUCAUUACCAAUUGUACCCAUCCUCAAUUUACAGCCUACAAUUGGGACCAGAAUUUCUGUUGCUAAGCAAGGUGUUGUUAAGUGAAUCACACCCAAUUUUACACCUUUUUUUGCUACAGUUAUUAAGUGAAUCACUGCAGUAGUCAAAUGAAUCAUAUGGUUAUUAAGUGAAUCCGAUUUCCCCCAUUGACUUUGUUUGUCCCAAGCUGGCUGGGAAGAUAGCAGUAGCAAUUACAUGACUAUAACUGUCAUAAGCACAUGCCAGUUGCCAAGUUAAUUUUGAUCAUGUGACCAUUGGGAUGCUUGCAACUGUUCUAAGUGCAAGGACCGAUUAUAAGCAUUUUUUUCAGUGCCAUUGUGACUUCAAAAUUCACUAAACAAAUGGUUGUCAGUCAAGGACAACCUGUAGACCUUAAAGAGGAAGCAAAAGGAGAAGGAAGUGUAAAGGAAGACAUACAUUCCUUAAAACAUAUCAAUAUAAAUUAAACUCUCCACGCAUACAUCCAUUUCCCAAAAGAGUGAAAAUGAUUUGAAAAGCUUUUUAAAAUGCCAUGUCAGGUGCAAAGGAUCAGAACCAUAUGUUAAGUUGCGGUUCAGAAUAUUUAUUGCUCAAGCCUAUAUGCAAAAAUCUUCAAAUAAAGUUCAAUAUUAAAUUGGCACCAGUUAAGGAUCAACAGAACUCAAGAGGGGUUAGCCUUGGACCAUUUGCAGCAACGUAAUGGCUCUAAGCUGAUGACAUGCUUAACACCGAUCCCCAGCUCUUCUCCUACAUGUCAUGCCUCAGGGUGAUUUUCAGGGUGAUUCCUCAGAAGAGGGGGAUCUUCUGGUUUAGAAGGUCAACACCUCUGAUGGGAAAUAUGAACUGGGUUCCUCAGGGUCUGUGUCUGUGCAUCAGACAUCUUCUAGAAGGCAAAACAAAUAUGCCAAAAUGCUACUGCUGUUUUUUAUGACAAAGCUCGGGGCAAUCACAAGAAUUGAACCAUUGUUCUGAAAUCCAUACUGAUGUGUAUUCAUUAAUGCAUUAUCAACCGAGGCUUGUCUUGGCAUGGGGAAUUCUACCGCCAUUCCUCUGGUGUUGCUGUAAAAUCUUCUAUAACACCCUAGGCGUUCUUGAGUAUUGAUUCUCUCCUUCUCCUACUUCCCAUGCACAUACUAUAUAUUGUAUGUGUUUGAAUUAGCAGUUUGCUAAUAUUUUUGCUGGAAUGUUUUUCGAUUCAGGUUAGUGAGAAAAAAUGCUUUUGCUUUUUUAUUAUUACUGCUAUUAUUAAACAUAGAAAGUUUCAGCAGAAAUUAUUCUAUGUGUGAUAUUUACAAGCUGGCAAUUGAUCUCCUGUUUUUCAUUUUACAAUGUUCUCUCCAGUUAUUUUUGGGCUUCCUGGCUUUCCAUACUUCAGUUAAAUCCCAGGGAAAGGAAAGUGUAACCAGGUUUAAGAAGAGAGGACAAUCAGAGAAACCACAGAUUGAUACAGAGGGGGGUAACAAAAAAAAACAACAACAGCACCUUCUUUUACAUAAUUAUAAAGAAAUCUGACCCUUUCAAGGAAAUAAAAAGGUGUCUCCAAGGGAAAGAAAGAUUGGAAAAAAUGGAGAACAAAUUUCAUUAGAAAAUUCUGGAUUUUAUAAAAAAAAUUGCACAUCAUCAAGGAGUUAUGAAGGUCUAGUUGGUCCCCUAUCAAAUAAAUCAAUCACUAAAUUUCUAUAUCCAAAUGAACAUGUAUACUUCAUGCUUUGUAAAUGGGUAUGAGAUUGUUUCUGCUAAUAAAGUUUAAUAAAUUAUUAUGGUUAGAUAGUCAGCUGGAUGUUUAGACUGGAUCUGGCAUUUUUAUCAUUUUUAUCUACCUAUCUCGUCUAUUCCAAGAAUUUGGGAGAGACAUUGGUUGUUUAGUAAUACUAAAGACAUUAUUGCAGGAUAUAAAUUGCUCCAAAUAAAACUAUCUUUUACAAUUGACCAGGGUGAUUUUGAAAAUACCAAUGGUAUUCAAAUGGUGUUCCAGAUGUUUUAGUCUUGCACCCAAGGUGGCUAUGACUAUUGGUACCAUCUUUACUUUAUUUUGCUGCAGUUAUUCUUUUUGUAUUUGCAGAUCGUAUAUUUUGUGAUUUUCUUCAGCUCUUUUUCUUCUAUUCUGCUGUCUCUAGGAGUUGCAGCAUCUCCUAUCCAGACUUUUUUGUCAUCCUUAUCAACAAUUGUUGUUGAUAUUCUGGGGUGUUGCAUGACAGAUGCUUGUCUAUUUGAAUUCUAAAGUCCCAGAGCACUUUAACUUCUUCAUGUUCUAUUUCUUUGUCUAUUUUGGAGUUCCUACCCAUACUUGCUUGUAGGCAAAAGGUAUUUCUUGCAAAUAUUCUAAUAAACCGUUUUGCUCCUUCA